AAGUUUGGACAAUGGUUGCAACCCUGAUCCGGCCAUCCCGCGUGUGCGAUUAAGGCUUUAGGGUUGUAAAGCACUUUUGGCAGGGAAGAAAAGGCACUGGCUAAUACCUGGAGCUGCUGACGGUACCUGCAGAAUAAGCACCUGCUAACUACGUGCCAUCAGCCGCGGAAACACGUAGGGUGCAAGCGUUAAUCGGAAGUACUGGGCGUCAAGCGUUCGCAGGCGGUUCGGCAAGAAGGAUGUGAAAUCCCAGGGCUUAACCUUGGAACUGCAUUCUUAACUGCCGGGCUAGAGUAUGUCAGAGGGGGGUAGAAUUCCGCGUGUAGCAGUGAAAUGCGUAGAGAUGCGGAGGAAUACCGAUGGCGAAGGCAGCCCCCUGGGAUAAUACUGACGCUCAUGCACGAAAGCGUGGGGAGCAAAC
rnacentral:rRNA from 1 species